GACGAACGCUGGCGGCGUGCUUAACACAUGCAAGUCGAACGGAAAGGCCCCUUUGGGGCUCCUCGAGGGGCGAACGGGUGAGUAACACGAGAGUAACCUUCCCCUGACUUCGGGCGGACUACAGGAAACGGGGGCGAAUACUGGUAAGGCAUCCCUACUGCAUGGAGGGGGCUGGAAAGCGUCGGCGGUUUUGGCUGGACUGGCGGCUUAUCCGCUUGUUGGUGGGGUAGUGGCUUACCAAGGCUCUGACGGGUGGCCGGCCUGGGAGGGCGACCGGCCACAUUGGGACUGAGAUACGGACCAGACUCCUACGGGAGGCAGCAGUGGGGAAUAUUGCACAAUGGGCGGAAGCCUGAUGCAGCAACGCCGCGAGCGGGAUGACGGCCUUCGGGUUGUAAACCGCUUUCAGCAGGGGCGAAGCUUGUGGUGACGGUACCUUCAGAAGAAGCACCGGCUAACUACGUG
rnacentral:rRNA from 1 species